rnacentral:rRNA from 1 species
UACAGGGGGUGCAAACGUUGCUCGGAAUCAUUGGGCGUAAAGCGCACGUAGGCGGUUCGUUAUGUCGGAUGUGAAAGCCCUUGGCUUAACCGAGGAAGUGCAUCCGAAACUGGCGAGCUAGAGUACGAAAGAGGAUCGCGGAAUUCCCGGUGUAGAGGUGAAAUUCGUAGAUAUCGGGAGGAACACCAGUGGCGAAGGCGGCGAUCUGGGAAGAUACUGACGCUGAGGUGCGAAAGCGUGGGGAGCAAACAGG